rnacentral:rRNA from 1 species
AAAUUGAAGAGUUUGAUCAUGGCUCAGAUUGAACGCUGGCGGCAGGCCUAACACAUGCAAGUCGAGCGGUAGCACAGAGAGCUUGCUCUCGGGUGACGAGCGGCGGACGGGUGAGUAAUGUCUGGGAAACUGCCUGAUGGAGGGGGAUAACUACUGGAAACGGUAGCUAAUACCGCAUAACGUCGCAAGACCAAAGUGGGGGACCUUCGGGCCUCAUGCCAUCAGAUGUGCCCAGAUGGGAUUAGCUAGUAGGUGGGGUAACGGCUCACCUAGGCGACGAUCCCUAGCUGGUCUGAGAGGAUGACCAGCCACACUGGAACUGAGACACGGUCCAGACUCCUACGGGAGGCAGCAGUGGGGAAUAUUGCACAAUGGGCGCAAGCCUGAUGCAGCCAUGCCGCGUGUGUGAAGAAGGCCUUCGGGUUGUAAAGCACUUUCAGCGGGGAGGAAGGCGGUGAGGUUAAUAACCUCACCGAUUGACGUUACCCGCAGAAGAAGCACCGGCUAACUCCGUGCCAGCAGCCGCGGUAAUACGGAGGGUGCAAGCGUUAAUCGGAAUUACUGGGCGUAAAGCGCACGCAGGCGGUCUGUCAAGUCGGAUGUGAAAUCCCCGGGCUCAACCUGGGAACUGCAUUCGAAACUGGCAGGCUAGAGUCUUGUAGAGGGGGGUAGAAUUCCAGGUGUAGCGGUGAAAUGCGUAGAGAUCUGGAGGAAUACCGGUGGCGAAGGCGGCCCCCUGGACAAAGACUGACGCUCAGGUGCGAAAGCGUGGGGAGCAAACAGGAUUAGAUACCCUGGUAGUCCACGCCGUAAACGAUGUCGAUUUGGAGGUUGUGCCCUUGAGGCGUGGCUUCCGGAGCUAACGCGUUAAAUCGACCGCCUGGGGAGUACGGCCGCAAGGUUAAAACUCAAAUGAAUUGACGGGGGCCCGCACAAGCGGUGGAGCAUGUGGUUUAAUUCGAUGCAACGCGAAGAACCUUACCUGGUCUUGACAUCCACAGAACUU